GCCGGGCACGGUGGUGCGUGCCUGUACUCCCGGCUACUUGGAAGGCUGAGGCUGGAGGAUCGCUUGAGCCCGGGAGUUCUGGGCUGUCGUGCGCUGUGCCAAUCGGGUGUCCCCAUCAAGUUUGGCAUCAAUAUGGUGACCUCCCGGGAGUGGGGGACCACCAGGUUGCCUAAGGAGGGGUGAACCGGCCCAGGUAGGAAACAGAGCAGGUCAAAACUCCCGUGCUGAUCAGUAGUGGGAUUGCGCCUGUGAAUAGACACUGCACUCCAGCCUGGGGGACGUAGUGAGACCCCCAUCUCU
ensembl:misc_RNA Metazoa_SRP Metazoan signal recognition particle RNA